rnacentral:rRNA from 1 species
UACGAGGGGGGCAAGUGUUGUUCGGAAUUACUGGGCGUAAAGGGAGCGUAGGCGGGUGCUUAAGUUGGAUGUUUAAAACCGGGGCCCACCCCCGGCGUGGCAUUCAAAACUGGGCAUCUUGAAUGGGACAGAGGCCAGUGGAAUUGGAGGUGUAGCGGUGGAAGGCGUAGAGAGCUCCAAGAACACCAGUGGCGAAGGCGGCUGGCUGGGUCCACAGUGACGCGGAGGCUCGAAAGCGUGGGGAGCAAACAGG